AGUUGUCAUCUUUGAUUUGAAUUUAGGAAAAAGGUCAAUAAUAUAUGGAAGAGGCUCAACUUUUGCCAAGUGUCAAUGUUACUUCAUCAUACAACACAACCUUAUUACUUAUUACACCACACAUCCUGUGAGAGUUGCGCCAUGUUUUAUUCACCACUGUUUUUCACACACACAAAAGAUUAUAAGGGGUAUCACGCCUAAUAUGUAACAUCUCCCUUCUGGAAACCCCUCCUUGUGGCAUGCCUCAGCACAUGGACCCGGCUUGCAUAAAGGGAUGGUAUAGCUCUGGCUGUAUACUCUACAUAUCUUGGCCUGUGAGCCUACAAAACAACAAAGAAAAUAUGGUAUAUUAAAAAAAUUAGAUCCUAUGAUGUUCAAUUGAGAAACAACAUAUAAAUAUUUGCAUGGAGUAUGAAUUUCACUGAUUUCUUACAAAGAUAAAAAAUGCAUUCCAUAAGUGCUUUGUUCUUCAUAUAAAAUUUUGAGAAAAUGCUUACCAGGAACUAAAAGAAGUGGAAUGAGUAGUAGAAGGAAUGUCAUAGUUGGCACCUUGACGCGUCCCGUGUCUUCAAGAAUAAACAGUCACAAAGGCAAAGCAAUAUAAGAAAGAGGCACAACAAAAUAGGCUACACCAAAAUAUAUAGGAUGGAAAGAUG
rnacentral:lncRNA from 1 species